UACGUAGGGCGCAAGCGUUAUCCGGAAUUAUUGGGCGUAAAGAGCUCGUAGGCGGUUUGUCGCGUCUGCCGUGAAAGUCCGGGGCUCAACUCCGGAUCUGCGGUGGGUACGGGCAGACUAGAGUGAUGUAGGGGAGACUGGAAUUCCUGGUGUAGCGGUGGAAUGCGUAGAGAUCCGGAAGAACACCGGUGGCGAAGGCGGCCCGCUGGGCAGGAAGGCUCGCAAGAGCCGGCUGACACUGAGGCGCGACAGCGUGGGGAGCAAACAGG
rnacentral:rRNA from 1 species